rnacentral:rRNA from 1 species
GACGAACGCUGGCGGCGUGCUUAAUACAUGCAAGUCGAACGGAAAGGCGCUGCUCUUGUGGGGUUCUCGAGAGCCGAACGGGUGAGUAACACGUGAGUAACAUGCCCCUGUAUUUGGGAUAAAUUCAGGAAACUCGGGCGAAUACCCGAUAGGAGCUCUUGCUGCAUGGGGGGGGUUGGAAAGUUUCGGCGGUUGGGGAUGGACUCGCGGCUUAUCCGCUUGUUUGUGGGGUAGUGGCUUACCAAGCCUUUGACGGGUAGCCGGCCUGAGAGGGUGACCGGCGACAAUGGGACUGCGAUACGGCCCAGACUGCUACGGGCGGCAGCAGUGGGGAAUAUUGCGCAAUGGGCGGAAGCCUGAUGCGGCGACGCCGCGUGCGUGAUGCCGGCCUACGGGUUGUGAACCGCUUUCGACGGUGACGAGGCGUGCGUGACGGUAAUGGGUCAAGAAGCAACGGCUAACUACGUG